rnacentral:rRNA from 1 species
GAUGAACGCUGGCGGCGUGCCUAAUACAUGCAAGUCGAGCGAACAGACGAGGAGCUUGCUCCUCUGACGUUAGCGGCGGACGGGUGAGUAACACGUGGAUAACCUACCUAUAAGACUGGGAUAACUUCGGGAAACCGGAGCUAAUACCGGAUAAUAUAUUGAACCGCAUGGUUCAAUAGUGAAAGACGGUUUUGCUGUCACUUAUAGAUGGAUCCGCGCCGCAUUAGCUAGUUGGUAAGGUAACGGCUUACCAAGGCAACGAUGCGUAGCCGACCUGAGAGGCUGAUCGGCCACACUGGAACUGAGACACGGUCCAGACUCCUACGGGAGGCAGCAGUAGGGAAUCUUCCGCAAUGGGCGAAAGCCGGACGGAGCAACGCCGCGUGAGUGAUGAAGGUCUUCGGAUCGUAAAACUCUGUUAUUAGGGAAGAACAAAUGUGUAAGUAACUAUGCACGUCUUGACGGUACCUAAUCAGAAAGCCACGGCUAACUACGUG